rnacentral:rRNA from 1 species
UACGAAGGGGGCUAGCGUUGCUCGGAAUUACUGGGCGUAAAGGGAGCGUAGGCGGGUCGUCAAGUUGGGGGUGAAAGCCCAGGGCUCAACCUUGGAAUUGCCUUCAAAACUGACGAUCUAGAGUAUGGAAGAGGUAAGUGGAACUCCGAGUGUAGAGGUGAAAUUCGUAGAUAUUCGGAAGAACACCAGUGGCGAAGGCGACUUACUGGUCCAUGACUGACGCUGAGGCUCGAAAGCGUGGGGAGCAAACAGGG